GCGGUUAUGGCGGAAUUGGCAGACGCAUAAGACUAAGGAUCUUAUGAGGCUUUCUCGUGCAGGUUCAAGUCCUGUUGACCGCA
rnacentral:tRNA from 1 species